GAUGAACGCUAGCGACAGGCUUAACACAUGCAAGUCGAGGGGCAGCACAGGUAGCAAUACCGGGUGGCGACCGGCGCACGGGUGAGUAACGCGUAUGCAACUUACCUAUCAGAGGGGGAUAACCCGGCGAAAGUCGGACUAAUACCGCAUGAAGCAGGGGUCCCGCAUGGGGAUAUUUGCUAAAGAUUCAUCGCUGAUAGAUAGGCAUGCGUUCCAUUAGGCAGUUGGCGGGGUAACGGCCCACCAAACCGACGAUGGAUAGGGGUUCUGAGAGGAAGGUCCCCGACAUUGGUACUGAGACACGGACCAAACUCCUACGGGAGGCAGCAGUGAGGAAUAUUGGUCAAUGGACGAGAGGCUGAACCAGCCAAGUCGCGUGAGGGAUGAAGGUUCUCUGGAUCGUAAACCUCUUUUAUAAGGGAAUAAAGUGCGGGACGUGUCCCGUUUUGUAUGUACCUUAUGAAUAAGGAUCGGCUAACUCCGUG
rnacentral:rRNA from 1 species